GGUCCGUUGGUCAAGGGGUUAAGACACCGCCUUUUCACGGCGGUAACACGGGUUCGUAUCCCGUACGGACUA
rnacentral:tRNA from 1 species